GACGAACGCUGGCGGCGUGCCUAACACAUGCAAGUCGAACGGAGUGGAAAAAGGGUGAGUAACACGGGGGUGACCUGCUCUGUACUUUAGGAAGAGCCUGGGAAAAUGGGUCUAAUACCGGAGAGUGAAGGAUGGGCUCGCGGCUUAUUAGCUUGUGGGUGGGGUAAUGGCCAACCAAGUGGGCGACGGGUAGCCGGCCUGAGAGGGUAGACGGCCACAGUGGGACUGAGACACGGCCCAGACUCCUACGGUAGGCAGCAGUGGGGAAUAUUGGACAAUGGGCGGAAGCCUGAUGCAGCGACGCCGCGUGGGUGAUGACGGCCUUCGGGUUGUAAAGUACGUUCAGCUGGGAGGAGGUUAAUACCCUUCCAUUGACGUUACCCGAAGAGGAAGCACCGGCUAACUCCGUGCCAGCAGCCGCGGUAAUUC
rnacentral:rRNA from 1 species